rnacentral:rRNA from 1 species
AUUGAACGCUGGCGGCAGGCCUAACACAUGCAAGUCGAACGAGUGGCGGACGGGUGAGUAAUGUCGGGGAAACUGCCUGAUGGAGGGGGAUAACUAUUGGAAACGGUAGCUAAUACCGCAUACCAUCAGAUGUGCCCAGAUGGGAUGAGCUUGUUGGUGGGGGAACGGCUGACCAAGGCGACGAUCCCUAGCUGGUCUGAGAGGAGGACCACCCACACUGGAACUGAAACACGGUCCUGACUCCUCAGGGAGGCAGCAGUGGGGAAUAUUGCACAAAAGGCGCAAGCCUGAUGCAGCCGUGCCGCGUGUAUGAAAAAGGCCUUCGGGUUGUAAAGUUCUUUCAGCGGGGAGGCGUUACCCGCAGAAGAAGCACCGGCUAACUCCGUGCCAGCAGCCGCGGUAAUAC